UGACAACAUACUGAGGAGGAAAUGCAGCCAUUUGUUUGAGGUGUGUUGGACCAGGGAUACAUCUAAAAGUUACAGGACACUGGCCCUCGAAGACUGGAGUUUGACAUCCCUGAUCUAGAAGGUCAUUGCAGGGAGCCACUUUAUCUACUGGUUUCCAGCUUUCAAAAAUGGCGGUGAAACUUGAGGAUUAAGAAACGGAGUCAACAAACAAGUUCAUGUUAUAGGCUGAGUUCAUCUUCUCUACCCAGUCUGUGCCUGUGUAUGGUUGUCUGUCCUGUGGGUCUCUUUGUUGCCCUGUGAGGGAAUGGAGACCUGUCCAGGGUGUACCACACCUCUCACCCAACGACCAGACACCCCCACCCUCUCUACCUCAGGUCAGUGGAUUUCCAAGAGCCAGACAUUGACUGGGAUGUUGCAGCAGGGUACAGACCAGAUGCGGAGGGGGUAAUUGUGGUCCCAGAGUUUGGCAAUCCCCUCACUGAAGAGCAGCACACUGAAUUACAGUUGCUGUUGGCUCAACAUUUAGGGCAAACAGACACUAAGGAGCUUUAUCUGUUGUGCAGAGAAUAUGUCAAUGCUGCCUUGUCAGAUUAAUAUGUAUUUGAAAUAAAAAGAUCAAGACAUGA